rnacentral:rRNA from 1 species
GACGAACGCUGGCGGCGUGCCUAAUACAUGCAAGUCGAACGCAGUGGGGACAGGUUAGUAACACGUGGCUAACCUCCCAUCAGAGGGGAUAACACUUGGAAACAGGUGCUAAACCGAUACUGAUGGAUGGACCCGCGGGGCAUUAGCUAGUUGGUGAGGUAACGGCUCACCAAGGCCACGAUGCAGAGCCGGCCUGAGAGGGUGAUCGGCCACACUGGAACUGAGACACGGCCCAGACUCCUACGGGAGGCAGCAGUAGGGAAUAUUCGGCAAUGGACGAAAGUCUGACGGAGCAAUGCCGCGUGAGUGAAGAAGGUUUUCGGAUUGUAAAGCUCUGUUGUUGGAGAAGCGGUAUCUAAACAGAAAGCAACGGCUAACUACGUGCCAGCCGCCGCGGUAAUUC